GAAGGUGAUGGGUGUGCUCGACCAGCUGAGGUACUGGGGCACCGCCAUUCUUGCCGCGAAGACCUCACGGCGUUCCCUCUUGCGCUGCCUUGCAGUCAACUGCGUCGAGGGCCCUCCAUAGAUCAUGUUGCAGUCGUGGACGGCAGGGAAACCAUCGUCGUCCUUGUUGCCCUCCUUGUCGCCGCCCUUUUCCUUCUUGGGAUUGUCGCGCGCGUC
rnacentral:lncRNA from 1 species